CCUACGGGUGACAGCAGUGAGGAAUAUUGGUCAAUGGACGAGAGUCUGAACCAGCCAAGUAGCGUGAAGGAUGACUGCCCUAUGGGUUGUAAACUUCUUUUAUAUGGGAAUAAAAUGUUCCACGUGUGGGAUUUUGUAUGUACCAUAUGAAUAAGGAUCGGCUAACUCCGUGCCAGCAGCCGCGGUAAUACGGAGGAUCCGAGCGUUAUCCGGAUUUAUUGGGUUUAAAGGGAGCGUAGGUGGAUUGUUAAGUCAGUUGUGAAAGUUUGCGGCUCAACCGUAAACGUGCAGUUGAAACUGGCAGUCUUGAGUAGGGGAGAGGGGGGCGGAAUGCGGGGUGAAGGGGUGAAAUGCUUAGAUAACGCGAAGAACUCGGAUUGCGAAGGCAGUUAACUG
rnacentral:rRNA from 1 species